rnacentral:rRNA from 1 species
GACGAACGCUGGCGGCGUGCUUAACACAUGCAAGUCGAACGAUGAAGCUGGAGCUUGCUCUGGUGGAUUAGUGGCGAACGGGUGAGUAAAACGUGAGUAAUCUGCUCUUGACUCUGGGAUAACUGCGGGAAACUGUAGCAAAUACCGGAUACGACACCUUCGGGCAUCUGAUGGGUGUCGAAAGAAUUUCGGUCAAGGAUGAACUCGCGGCCUAUCAGCUAGUUGGUGAGGUAAUGGCUCACCAAGGCGACGACGGGUAGCCGGCCUGAGAGGGUGACCGGCCACACUGGGACUGAGACACGGCCCAGACUCCUACGGGUGGCAGCAGUGGGGAAUAUUGCACAAUGGGCGAAAGCCUGAUGCAGCAACGCCGCGUGAGGGAUGAAGGCCUUCGGGUUGUAAGCCUCUUUUAGUUGGGAAGAUGCGAAAGUGACGGUACCAACAGAAAAAGCACCGGCUAACUACGUGCCAGCAGCCGCGGUAA